rnacentral:lncRNA from 1 species
GGCAGCCAGGCCAUGAGAUCUUAGGCCAUGUCAAGACGUGACGUGGUUCUUACCAAUGUUACUGUCGUCCAGCUACGGCGGGACCCAUGCCCAUGUCCAUGCCCAUGUCCAUGUCCAUGUCCAUGUCCCGUGAUCAGACCACCUCCACCUCCACCCAAGGUUGAGGAGCCUCCGCCACCCAAGGAGGAGCCGCCGCCACCGCCACCACCGCCUCCUCCACCCCAGAUAGAGCCAGAGGAGCCUAAAGAGGCUCCACCUCCACCUCCACCUCCUCCACCCCCUCCCCCUCCCCCUCCUCCACCACCCCCAAAGCCAGCUAAAGAGCUAACAGUGGGCAUCAAUGGAUUUGGACGCAUUGGUCGUCUGGUGCUACGAGUCUGCAUGGAGAAGGGCGUUCGGGUAGUAGCAGUGAAUGACCCAUUCAUUGAUCCAGAAUACAUGUGGGGAUUCGUCUAGGGCUGCUCACUCCGCAACCUACGACCAGGCCCUCGCUCUGUCUACUGCAGGUGUACAUGUUCAAAUAUGACUCCACACAUGGUAGAUACAAAGGAACGGUGGAACAUAAGAAUGGACGACUAGUUGUGGACAACCUUGAGAUCAACGUGUUCCAGUGGUAAGGAC